GGGACACUGGAGACAGGUGGUGCAUGGUUGUCGUCAGCUCGUGUCGUGAGAUGUUGGGUUAAGUCCCGCAACGAGCGCAACCCCNUAUUUCCAGUAGCCAGCAUGUAAAGAUGGGCACUCUGGAGAGACUGCCUGGGAUAACCAGGAGGAAGGCGGGGAUGACGUCAAAUCAUCAUGCCCCUUAUGAUCAGGGCUACACACGUGCUACAAUGGCGUAAACAAAGGGAAGCGAAGUGGUGACGCCAAGCAAAUCCCAAAAAUAACGUCCCAGUUCGGAUUGUAGUCUGCAACUCGACUACAUGAAGCUGGAAUCGCUAGUAAUCGCGAAUCAGAAUGUCGCGGUGAAUACGUUCCCGGGUCUUGUACACACCGCCCGUCACACCAUGGGAGUCGGAAAUGCCCGAAGUCAGUGACCUAACCGAAAGGGAGGAGCUGCCGAAGGUGGAGCCGGUAACUGGGGUGAAGUCGUAACAAGG
rnacentral:rRNA from 1 species